UNGACAAUGUUCCUCCUAGAUUUGUUGCACC
rnacentral:piRNA from 1 species